rnacentral:rRNA from 1 species
CAGCCGCCGCGGUAAUACGAGGGGUGCAAGCGUUAUUCGGAUUGAUUGGGUGUAAAAGGUGUGCAGACGGCUUAUUAAGUCACUUGUUAAAUUCUUCGGCCUAACUGAAGGUCUGCAAGUGAUACUAAUGAGCUAGAGGGUGGAAGAGAGAAGUGGAAUUCUCGGAGUAGCGGUAAAAUGCGUAGAUCUCGAGAGGAACACCAAUGGCGAAGGCAGCUUCUUGGUCCAUUCCUGACGUUCAUACACGAAAGCGUGGGGAGCAAACAGGAUUAGAUACCCCGGUAGUCCCUGUCUCUUAUAC